GAUGAAGAACGUAGCGAAAUGCGAUAAGUAAUGUGAAUUGCAGAAUUCAGUGAAUCAUCGAAUCUUUGAACGCACAUUGCGCCCUCUGGUAUUCCGGGGGGCAUGCCUGUCCGAGCGUCAUUGCUGCCCUCAAGCACGGCUUGUGUGUUGGGCCCCGCCCCCCGGCUCCCGGGGGGCGGGCCCGAAAGGCAGCGGCGGCACCGCGUCCGGUCCUCGAGCGUAUGGGGCUUCGUCACCCGCUCCGUAGGCCCGGCCGGCGCCCGCCGGCGACCCCCUCAAUCUUUUCAGGUUGACCUCGGAUCAGGUAGGGAUACCCGCUGAACUUAAGCAUAUCAAUAAGCGGAGGA
rnacentral:misc_RNA from 1 species